GACGAACGCUGGCGGCGUGCUUAACACAUGCAAGUCGAACGGAAAGGCCCUGCUGUUGUGGGGUGCUCGAGUGGCGAACGGGUGAGUAACACGUGAGUAACCUGCCCUUGACUUUGGGAUAACUUCAGGAAACUGGGGCUAAUACCGGAUAGGAGCUCCUGCUGCAUGGUGGGGGUUGGAAAGUUUCGGCGGUUGGGGAUGGACUCGCGGCUUAUCAGCUUGUUGGUGGGGUAGUGGCUUACCAAGGCGUUGACGGGUAGCCGGCCUGAGAGGGUAACCGGCCAGAUCGGGACUGAAUUAUGGCCCACACCCCGGCGGGCGGCAACAGGGGGGACAAUUGCACAAUGGGCGAGAGCCUGAUGCACCAACGCAGAGUGCGGGAUGACGGCCUUCGCGUUGUAAACCGCUUUGGCCUGUAACGAAGCAUGAGUGACGGUAAUGGGUAAAGAAGCACCGGCUUACUACGUG
rnacentral:rRNA from 1 species